GAGAAGCCCUAAUGAUGCUGCGGAUGAACGAAGCCGCCGGCGGUGAGGGCAGCGAUUAUGGGAGAGGAGGAGCUGGAGCACCACCUCCGCGUCCACCACCAGGAGCACCCGGGUGGCGUCGACGGUGAUGGGGACGGUGAUAUCGAGGCUGAGGGUGAGGGCAAGUGCUAGGAUGAAGGCGAGGACGAGCUCUCCUGAGUACGAGGAGGAGGGAUUCGAUGAUGAUGAGGAGGUGGAGGAUGUGGAGCCAGAGCUAGACCCUGCAGAGUAUGAGGAUGACGAGGCUUACGCUCGAGUGCUUCAGGACGCCGAGGAGCGUGAGGGCGGGCGGUGGAGCAUGUCGAGGAUCACAUAAAUGACACGCAGCCUAUCCACCUCAGCAGCCUUGCCACAUAAUCAAUUUCUCUUAAUUAUUUUGGUCAUGCAGCUCACCACAUCAGCAUUCUUAAAAAAAUCGUGUGAACCUACUCUCUAAAAACCGAAGAGGCCCCGUUGAUAUUUAUGUAACCGAAGAGUGGAAGUCCGACAGGAGCACACGCCGGGCCGGAUCCCAUUACUUCUCCGCUUCAGUUCCAUGGCUCCACCACUUCCUUUCCCACAGCCCGUCGCUUCGUGCAUCUUCUCCAAUAUCCAAGCUCCAUGGCUGCAACAACCAGUGCGUCAAGCCUACCCUGCCACCGCCCCGUCCAUGUGCACCGUUUUCACCUGUGGCCGGCCCGCCUCGCCGCCGAGAGCAAACCGCCAGAUAGCCUGUGCUAUAGCUUCCUCAGGGCCCUCCUCGCCAUCGCACAUGGCGCAGCUCUGGUGUUGGUCCUUCACUGGAGCGCUGAUGUUCUCCAACAAAUUCUACAUCCACGGGAGCCAAUAGUCUAAUGGCAAGGAGGAUGGACGAGGGCUCUCAAUCUGAUUCUAAUCUGCGAUGUCAACAAGAUUAAAUCAGCUUUACGAAGAGAGAUUACCUCUAAACAACACAGAAACUAAAAUGCAGGGAAACUAAUUAAAGGAGGAAGACACUCCAAUAGGUGCUCCUGUCUAGAGUUUGGAACCAUUGGCUGAAUGAUACUACGGGCCUCUGAAAAACUAUUUAAGAUUGGUUUUCACUUUCACAUUUUUGAUGUUACUGCAUGCCAUUGGGAGCAAAUUCCAGUUACAAGUGCCUGCAGCAAGUAGGGUAUUGUUUUUUAUUAGUAGGCGGAUAUGUGUUUACUCUAUUGAGGCGGAGCGUAGGAGACUAUCCAUUUUGCUACCGGAAUCUCGGUAUGUCUUUGCUCUCUUUUUCUAUUUUUUCUUUCUUCCGAUUAACUGCAAUUCACGUCAAUGAAACAUGCCAUCUUACUGUUCACAUUCUAUAUUCUGGGUUGUGAUAUUGAUGGGUUCUCUUUCUUUUGCAAUACUACACGAGAAUAGCAUAUUUAAGUUCAGAUAUGCACAUGGCAGAAACAUUUGCUUUUUAGUUUUCUGCAGUAAUUACUGUGAUGAAACAUGCCAUUUUAUUCUCUUAUGUUUGAGUCCAAAUCAAUUGUGAACAUGCUACUUUCAUACUUAUCAUGUACCGUGCUAGAAGGAUCCAACCCAAUUGUUUUUUUUACUCAUGUAAAAUGGAAGAGAAAAUAUUUUUUUGGUGGUUUUGAUCACCUGGGAGGUUUACUCUAGGGUGAAAAGGCUCCAUUUCUUUUUUCUGAGCCAAGUAUCAUAUAAAUUUGCUACCUACAUGUUCGGUCGAAUACUGAAAAGAAUAAAUUUAUGGAUUACUCCGACCUGAAAACCUUAAAUCUUGCAAGAAAUCUACAUCACACCGAAAUCUUGAUAGAGUUGCAAACUGCCAUUUUCUUAGGUCAACCUUUUCCUGUUCUAGCUAUAAUGUCCCAUGUAUAUACACUAGGUGAAAUUAGGCAUUUAUGCUAUUGACAACAAGACAUAUUUAACUACAUCUUAAGAUUUCAGACCCGUCGUAACUUCACUUGCACCCAACACCAUGUAUCAUAUAUAUAGUUAUAUACUCAUAGAAAUGAGUAUACCACUAGACCAUGUCAAACACAAAUGCUUUGUUCAAUUUCAUUUUCUGUAUUUAUCAUUUUUGUAUGCAGAAGGAGUCAUGUCGAUUAGAAUACAAUCCAGCAUAUGCUCUUGCUGAGCAUUUGGAAUCAUUGGCUUAAUGAACUACUGUCCUCCCAAUAACUAUUUAUGAUUGGAUUAGAGCUUUUAUAAAUUUUAUAUUACUGCUUCUGGAGCAAAUUCUCAUUUAUAAAUUUCCAAAAAAGGAGUUGUUUUUAAUGGUAGACAGGGUGUCUCUUCACUCUCCUGAGGAUGAGCAUCUGAGAUUAUCCUGUUGGGAUUAUCGACCGGAAUCUUGGUUAUUCUCUUCCUAAAUAGCGCUACAAAUUCCCGCAGCAACGCGCGGGGCAUCAUCUAGUUUCGUUAAUGUGUGUGACAUACAGUGUAGUACUUGCUUAUUUCAUUGAAGCAGUGACAUAAUUGCUUGGUAGAGCUAAUUUAUUCUCUGAUAUAUUAUGCUAAAAGUGGUAAAUUUACCUCCUGCCAUGUUUUCUCCGGGGAUUGUGGCAUGCACCUCCGGUUCGUCUAAUUUAUGCACGGAGAACUUUGUCUUUGUUCAAAUUGUGGUACUGUGUUUUUGCUUACUUAUUGAAACCAGCCAAAUUUGACCGAGUAACUUACAUUUACAAAUCGGCAUGUUAUUGAAAAAACACAGGGUUCAUGGCAAGAGAUUGAUCCAGAUGAGUACUCAUACGA